rnacentral:rRNA from 1 species
GUCUAUGGCCAUGCCACCCUGAACAUGCCCGAUCUCGUCUGAUAUUGGAAGCUAAGCAGGUCGGCCCUGGUUAGUACUUGGAUGGGAGACCACCUAGGAAGACCAGGUGCUAUAGGUG